GACGAACGCUGGCGGCGUGCUUAACACAUGCAAGUCGAACGAUGAAGCCCAGCUUGCUGGGUGGAUUAGUGGCGAACGGGUGAGUAACACGUGAGUAACCUGCCCUGGACUCUGGGAUAACCCCGAGAAAUCGGAGCUAAUACCGGAUAGGACCUUUCCCCGCAUGGGGUUUGGUGGAAAGUUUUUCGGUUUGGGAUGGACUCGCGGCCUAUCAGCUUGUUGGUGAGGUAAUGGCUCACCAAGGCGUCGACGGGUAGCCGGCCUGAGAGGGGGACCGGCCACACUGGGACUGAGACACGGCCCAGACUCCUACGGGAGGCAGCAGUGGGGAAUAUUGCACAAUGGGCGCAAGCCUGAUGCAGCAACGCCGCGUGCGGGAUGACGGCCUUCGGGUUGUAAACCGCUUUUAGUAAGGAAGAAGGGGCUUCGGCCUUGACGGUACUUGCAGAAAAAGGACCGGCUAACUACGUGCCAGCAGCCGCCGUAACAC
rnacentral:rRNA from 1 species